GGGAGUGUUUCAUCACAGGUCCAUUCACAAUAAGAGUUGGAAGGCUUCACUGGUUAAUCAGAAACCUCACGACUAGCUAGCCUUGUCUUCAACGCCGAGUAUUUAAGGCGGAGGACCAAGACUCUGAGCCGGAGUAAAAGGUCCAAGAGGAGCCCCUGGCCCAAAGAUUUAGUGGUAUAUAUUGUUAUUUUCAGGUAGCGUUUUAGAGUGUUUCACAAAAGAGAGUUGCGGAAUUGUUCUUGAAAUGCUUAUUGUAUAUGGUGGAUUUUCCCCCCACCAUAGACGUAGGCGUCUCGCCGAGUCAAGUAUAUCUUAUAUAUCUGUGUUCUCUAUGUGUGCUUUGAUCAUUUAUUACUAUUUUAUUA